CCCGGCGCUCGGCUCCCGGCGCCAUGUGAGGGGGCUCGGGGGCCGCGGGGGGCCGGGCGCUCCCCGCCGGAGAUGAGGAAACUGAGGCUCAGAGAGGUCACAUGGCUUGCUCGAGGCCCCCCAGCCAGUGUGAACCCACGUCCCUGCCCCCAGGGCCACCUGCAGGACGCGGACACCUACCCCUCAGCAGACGCCGGAGAGAAAUGAGUAGCAACAAAGAGCAGCGGUCAGCAGUGUUCGUGAUCCUCUUUGCCCUCAUCACCAUCCUCAUCCUCUACAGCUCCAACAGUGCCAGUGAGGUCUUCCAUUACGGCUCCCUGCGGGGCCGUAGCCGCCGACCUGUCAACCUCAAGAAGUGGAGCAUCACUGACGGCUAUGUCCCCAUUCUCGGCAACAAGACGCUGCCUUCUCGGUGCCACCAGUGUGUGAUUGUCAGCAGCUCCAGCCACCUGCUGGGCACCAAGCUGGGCCCUGAGAUCGAGCGGGCUGAGUGUACAAUCCGCAUGAAUGAUGCACCUACCACUGGCUACUCAGCUGAUGUGGGCAACAAGACCACCUACCGCGUCGUGGCCCAUUCCAGUGUGUUCCGAGUGCUGAGGAGGCCCCAGGAGUUUGUCAACCGGACCCCUGAAACCGUGUUCAUCUUCUGGGGGCCCCCAAGCAAGAUGCAGAAGCCCCAGGGCAGCCUCGUGCGUGUGAUCCAGCGGGCGGGCCUGGUGUUCCCCAACAUGGAAGCAUAUGCCGUCUCUCCCGGCCGCAUGCGGCAAUUUGACGACCUCUUCCGGGGGAGAAGUCUCAUUCGUGGUUGAGCACAGGCUGGUUUACCAUGGUGAUCGCGGUGGAGUUGUGUGACCACGUGCACGUCUAUGGCAUGGUCCCCCCCAACUACUGCAGCCAGCGGCCCCGCCUCCGGCGCAUGCCCUACCACUACUACGAGCCCAAGGGGCCGGACGAAUGUGUCACCUACAUCCAGAAUGAGCACAGUCGCAAGGGCAACCACCACCGCUUCAUCACCGAGAAAAAGGUCUUCUCGUCGUGGGCCCAGCUGUAUGGCAUUACCUUCUCCCACCCCUCCUGGACCUAGGCCACCCAGCCUGUGGGACCUCAGGAGGGUCAGAGGAGAAGCAGCCUCCGCCCAGCCGCUGGGCCAGGGACCAUCUUCUGGCUAAUCAAGGCUCGCUGGAGUGUCUCCCAGCCAAUCAGGGCCUUGAGGAGGAUGCAUCCUCCAGCCAAUCAGGGCCUGGGGAAUCUGUUGGCCAAUCAGGGAUUUGGGAGUCUAUGUGGUUAAUCAGGGGUGUCUUUCUUGUGCAGUCAGGGUCUGCGCACAGUCAAUCAGGGUAGAGGGGUAUUUCUGAGUCAAUCUGAGGCUAAUCCUUUCCCAUGAGGUCUUGGUUCAGAGCCCCAGGAAUGGACCCCCCAAUCACUCCCCACUCUGCUGGGAUAAUGGGGUCCUGUCCCAAGGAGCUGAGAACUUGGUGUUGCCCCCUCAAUUUCAAGCACCGGAAAGAGAGAUUGUGUGGGGGUAGAAGCUGUCUGGAGGCCCGGCCAGAGAAUUUGUGGGGUUGUGGAGGUUGUGGGGGCGGUGGGGAGGUCCCAGGGGUGGGAGGCUGGCAUCCAGGUCUUGGCUCUGCCCUGAGCGACCUUGGACAAACCCUUCCCCCUCUCUGGCCCCCCUUCUGCCCACACCAGUUUCCAGUGCGGAGUCUGAGACCCUUUCCACCUCCCCUACAAGUGCCCUAGGGUCUGUCCUCCCCGUCUGGACCCUCCCAGCCACUAUCCCUUGUUGGAAGGCUCAGCUCUUUGGGGGGUCUGGGGUGACCUCCCCACCUCCUGGAAAACUUUAGGGUAUUUUUUUCUCAAACUCCUCCAGGGUUGGGGGACUCUGAAGGAAACGGGACAAACCUUAAGCUGUUUUCUUAGCCCCUCAGCCAGCUGCCAUUAGCUUGGCUCUUAAAGGGCCAGGCCUCCUUUUCUGCCCUCUAGCAGGGAAGUUUUCCAACUGUUGGAGGUGCCUUUGGGGCUGCCCCUUUGUCUGGAGUCACUGGGGGCUUCCGAGGGUCUCCCUCGACCCUCUGUCGUCCUGGGAUGGCUGCCGGGAGCUGUAUCGCCUGGGUUCUGUCCCCUGGCUCUGUAUCAGGCACUUUAUUAAAGCUGGGUCUCAGUGGGGUGUGUUCGUCUCCUGCUCUUCUGGAGCCUGGAAGGGAAGGGCUUCAGGAGGAGGCUGUGAGGCCGGAGGGACCAGAUGGAGGAGGCCAGCAUCUAGCCAUUGCACACUGGGGUGAUGGGUGGGGGCGGUGACUGCCCCAGACUUGGUUUUGUAAUGAUUUGUACAGGAAUAAACACACCUACGC
rnacentral:sRNA from 1 species